rfam:Denitrovibrio acetiphilus DSM 12809, complete genome.
GCCCAGGUAGCUCAGUCGGUAGAGCAGGGGACUGAAAAUCCCCGUGUCGGUGGUUCGAUUCCGCCCCUGGGCA